UACGUAGGAGGCAAGCGUUGUCCGGAUUUACUGGGCGUAAAGAGCGUGUAGGCGGCAUGGCAAGUCUGCUGUGAAAGCUCUCGGCUUAACCGGGAGAGGUCGGUGGAAACUGCCAAGCUUGAGGACGGUAGAGGGGGGUGGAAUUCCCGGUGUAGUGGUGAAAUGCGUAGAUAUCGGGAGGAACACCAGUGGCGAAGGCGGCCCCCUGGGCCGCUCCUGACGCUGAGACGCGAAGGCUAGGGUAGCGAACGGG
rnacentral:rRNA from 1 species